rnacentral:rRNA from 1 species
GAUGAACGCUGGCGGCGUGCUUAACACAUGCAAGUCGAGCGAAGCACUUAAGAAUGAUUCUUCGGAUGAAUUCUUUUGUGACUGAGCGGCGGACGGGUGAGUAACGCGUGGGUAACCUGCCUCAUACAGGGGGAUAACAGUUAGAAAUGGCUGCUAAUACCGCAUAAGACCACAGUACUGCAUGGUACAGUGGUAAAAACUCCGGUGGUAUGAGAUGGACCCGCGUCUGAUUAGGUAGUUGGUGAGGUAACGGCCCACCAAGCCGACGAUCAGUAGCCGACCUGAGAGGGUGACCGGCCACAUUGGGACUGAGACACGGCCCAGACUCCUACGGGAGGCAGCAGUGGGGAAUAUUGCACAAUGGGCGAAAGCCUGAUGCAGCGACGCCGCGUGAAGGAUGAAGUAUUUCGGUAUGUAAACUUCUAUCAGCAGGGAAGAAAAUGACGG